rnacentral:misc_RNA from 1 species
AUCAAUACCAGAUAGCGUUGUAAUUUCAACAAUUUCUGUCAUUUCAACUUGAAAAUCUGGCAACAGAUGAAUAUUUACAAUUAAAUUUCAGCGUGAACUUCAAAAUUUAUAUUUACCUGUAAUAAGUUUUAUUUCAACGAAUAUAAAAUGCUUAUAACUAUAACUCCAGUAUUAAAUGUGAUUCAAGAACUGUAACAUUGCUGUUUUGUAAUAAAAUGAAAAACUGGAUGCAGUAAAUUAAAAUGGAAACUAAUGGUGUUGAACAAAUGGAAAUCGAUGAAGGUGAACAAAUUGAUAAUCAAGUUGUAGAAUUACAAACUUUAUUCAGUUUUGCUGAAAGAAAUGAUAUUAAAAGCAUUGCCGUUAAUAUCAUAAAUAAAGAAAACUACAGUGACAUCAUAAAUAUGAGACAUGAUGGUAAAAGAGUUAUUGAUAAGGCUUGGAAAGAUAAUUAUUACGAUCUUGUACUUGUACUUUUAUUGGGAGAUUCUUAUUUCCCUGAAAAUUUUAUUUUGGAUGAUAAUGUCAACAACAUUUUUCAAUCCAAAAUUAUGGGUAUUGCUAGUGGGGUAAACUCUUUUCAUGAUCAAAUUAUACGUCAUAAAGAGUUAAAAGACACCAUGAAGGCUAUUGCAGAUGUUAAAAUUCUAUAUAAAGAAUCUUUUUCCUGUUUGGCAGUUAAUUAUGGGUUUACUAGUUAUUGUGAUUGCUAUGCACCAAAAUAUUACUUUAACACUUCUUCUAAUUCUGCAGCAUUAACAGCCAUUGAAUAUAAAAGAUAUGAUGUUUAUUCCUAUUUAAUGACCCUACAUUUUUAUAUGAAAAAGGAAGAAUAUCAAAUUUUUGAUCUAUUGCCAAAAAAAGUAUCAAAUAAAACAUCAGAGUUUUUAGAAGGACUUUUUCAUUUUAUAGGUUCUGCUCAUGUAUCGUUUUUGUUGUCAAGAACAAAAAUGCUUAAAACAGAUUCUUCCGCUUAUGAAAAAAUUCGUUAUUUUUAUUCACUGCUUGAUAAAAUUCCAGAGGUUUCAAAUAUUUUAAAGGCUUUAAAACAUUGUGAUCGUAUUGUAAUAAACGUUGAUUUACGUAAUGAAAAAGCUAGUGAAAUGGAUCCCAGGUGCUUACAAACCUUUGGACAUUCAUAUGUUUGGCAUGGACAAGUUUAUGCUGCUUUAGGAAGGGGAGAAAAGUUGGCAUUAGGUACUUUAUCUCAUGAAUUUGCCCAUUUAGCUAUGUUUGAAGUGUUUCGAAAUGAGUCUAAGCCUUAUGAAAAACAAGAUAUUUCAAGUGAGCAAACAUUUAAACAAUUGACACUAGAAACCAAAAAUAGUUGGAAAUUUGUAAAUACAAAAACUGAAGAAGAACAGGGAAUGAAAAAUAUUAUUGGAGGUGCUUUUGGGUAUCCAGAAUCUGAACAUGAAGUUGAACUUAUUGCUCGCAUUGUAGAAAUAUUUGCUGUUUAUGAAGAUCAAGGAAAGAAGUGGAUUGAAUUCAAUUUUUGCCACUUAUUUUCAUUUUUUCAUGAAGUCCUUUUAAAAAUUCAAAGGGCUAUUAAUCUUUGGGAAGUACAUAAGCCUAGUAAAGAUUUAAAAUUAAUAAAUCAAUAUGCUGGUUAUGAAAAAGAUGAAAAGAUACAGCUAGUAGCUGAUCAUACAAUCGAAUUCACAUUCCGUAAUUUUCUUAAAUCUGAUGAUUGGAGCUUUUGUCAUAUUAGUGAUGCAUACACGUGUGCACAAUUAUGUAAUUUUUUGUAUGUAUUUUUUAAAAAUAUAAUCAAGGAAAAGUCACCUGAUGAUUAUUAUUUUUUUACUUUUGAUGUGUGUAACAAACAUUUAGAUGAUAUCAUUGUAGCGUUUGCUGCUGCAAAAGUCAAUUUAAUUACUCUACUGUUUACAGAAAUUAAAAUUGAAAAGGAACGAUUGCGGGAAAUAUUGUUGAAGUUUUUUGAAAUUACUCUCUCUUCUACAAAGAAAAUUAUUUUUUUGGUCUUUGAUGAGAAUCGUUCUGAUUUUGCAGAAGCUUGGGACCGUGCAUUUUCACUCAUGGAAAAGGACAAACAGGCGGCUGCCGCUUGCUUUGAAAAAAAAUAUGGAGACAGCUUUAAAUCAGUAAAAAUUGAAAACCUGGAAAGUUUUAAAUUUGAGAGCAUUAAGCAUCAGCCCAUCAACAUGCAACUCACUCUUAAGGAUUAUGACUUAAACUCUCAAACUUAUAUCUUACAAAAAGAAAAUAUAAUAUUUCAAGGCAAAGUUACAAGUUUAUGCAAACUUCUCAAUAUUCAGAAUGUUGAGAUUAUAAGUGAUAGCAAAUUAGACUUUCUUCUAAAUUUAGAACCUAAAGUUAUACAAAGACUUAUUAUUGGUGAAAAUGUUCAUAUUGGAGAAAAUUUUCCAUCAUAUAACAAUAGCUAUUAUAUUUCACGAAAUUUCAGUCAAGUAGAAAUAAAACAAGCUAUUCAAAGAAGUAAAUCUUUUGGUGAUAAAGUAUGUUUUUCCAGAGAGGAGUUUGAAAAUUUUAGCAGUCUUUUUCCAGAGGAAAAUAUCCAUUGGCUGGAAAGGAAAUCUACAACUCUUGUUUGGCAAAAAACUCGUGGCUCUAUUUUAUCUUUGUAUGAGUAUAUUGUUAGAAAUCAAAAUGUGUCAACAUUGUGUUCAGAAUCAGAUCUGUUGCGUUUGCAAAGUCAGUUGAAAGUGAUAAUUAUUUCUGAUGAAGCCGGAAUGGGAAAAUCUACUGUUCUUUCCUAUUUAUGUCAGGAAAUUUACAAAUUGAAUGCAAAUGAUAUUCCCCCAAACUGGAUUUUCAGAGUGAAUUUGAAUGACUAUACUCGAAUAUUGAGAGAAUACAUGGAGGAUAGCAAAAUGUCAAUUGAGAUGCUUGCCAAUUACAUGCUUAAGUUAAAUGAACCCUUGGAUCAGAUGUUAUUUCAUUCUGGGUUAAUAAAAACUGUUGUGAUGUUUGAUGGAUUUGAUGAGAUCUGUCCAACAUAUGAGGCUAUAGUAAUCGAGUUAAUUAAAUAUUUAUUAAAUAAGGUUAAUAAUCUUUGGAUAUCUACUAGACAGAAUAAGAAAAAUGAACUUGAAAAAGAGUUUCAAGUAUUUGCUUUUUCAUUAAUACCAUUUUCAAGUAAUAAAGAACAAUUUGAACUUUUAAAUAAAAUUUGGGUUUCUAAAUUAAAAGAAGAAAAUAUUGUAUGUAGUGAAAAUGAGGAGUCCAAGAAGUUGGAUUUGUAUUGUAACGAUAUAAUAAAUAUUUUUUCAAAACAAACAACCAUUGAAAACAGAGAUAAAUUUCUUAGUAAACCAUUGCAUUUGAUAAUGGUUGGUGACAUAUUUUACAAAAACGAAAAAAAAUGUUUAGGAACGUUUAAAAGUGUCAAAGAUUUUAUAACCAGCAGAAUGGAUAAGCCAGAGCUAAAGGAAAACUUUGAUGUCUUAGAUCUUUAUGAAUCUUUUUUGAGAAAACUUCUUUAUGAAUAUUAUCUUGUAGGCAAAUUAGAUUAUGAUUUAUCUAAAAUUGAUACAAAUCCUAUAAAAAUUUGUGAAAAUAUCUAUUUUAAUUGUCAAAUUGCUGCUUUAAAACGUUUGACGAUUUCAACUCAUUUAUUUCAUAUAAAUGAAGAUUUAUUUGAAGAGUUCAGGAAGGAAAUUAUUGAUGGAACUUUAAAAAUUGGUUUUUUGCAUUGUAAUUCUUUUGACAAUACAUUGCAAUUUACUCACUUAACCUAUGCGGAAUACUUAGCCUCUGUUUUUAUUGCUGAACAACUUAUUCAAUCUGUUGGUAAAGAGUUUCAUGACAUUAUUGCACUCGUUAACAGACUUUUACCAAACAAUUCUUUAUUGUUCCUAAAAAGUUUUUGGAAAUGUUUAAUGAAACAUGAGAAUAAAUUCUUUGAGAUACUUAAGGAAGCAACAUUUUUUGAUUUUGCUGUAAAAAAUGGAUUCAUGAAUAUUAUUCGUGCUAUCAUGGAAAUUGAAAUAGAUACCAUGUUUAAUAAUAAGGAAUCGGGCAUAACCGGUUUGCAUCUUGCUACAAAAUCUGGUGAGGCAAACGUUGUGAAGUAUUUUUUGGGCCCUCAGGUUAAUCUUUAUUCCAAUACGCAAAAAAAUAAAAAUGCUUCCAAGUGUAUUAACAUUAAUGAGAAAGAUUCUUAUGGCCAUACAGCUUUGUACUAUGCCGUUGAAAAUGAAAGAUUUGAAAUUGGUUAUGAUUUAUUAAUUAAUGGAGCUGAUUGUUCUAGCCUUGAUGAUAAUAGACUUGUUUAUUCAUUUGUUUGCUACAUAUUUAAAAAAAUUUUCAUUUCAGAAUUUAAAUUAUUUUUUAAUUUUCAUAAGAAUCCACUUAGAGAAACAAAUCAUUUAGUUAAAGUUUUAGAAAUUUUUUUUAAACAUUUUUGUGAUUUUUAUUAUGAAAUACCAUCUGAAUCGAGAAUUGUUUCAAUGUAUCAGUUUUUUUGUUUUUUUCUUUGGCAUGGACGUACACUUGUGCUCAAACAUAUAACUGAAUGCCUAGAUUAUAACGAUAGAAAAGACAUAUUUUUGUAUACUGAUGGAAGACAAACAAUUUUGGAAGUUAUCAGUAAAAGUAUAUACUUGAAUGAUAAUGAAAAGCUAGAUAUACUAAUCUUCAUGAUUAACGGUGAUCCUUAUUUAAAGAAAACAAUUGAAGACAAUGAUGAAUUUUUAGAACAGAUUGUAGAACAGGGAAGUCUUAAGACUUUUAUGUAUUUCACCAAUCAUCGGAAUCAUAGUAUCCCUAUUAAAUUCCUUAUAUCUGCCCUUAAGAACUCCCACUUUAUAUUUGUAUGGUAUUUAUUAAAAAGGAAUUGUUUCAAAUCUGAUGAUACUAAAAUGUCUCCAUUGUGUUUAGCCAUAAAGUCAAAUGCAUGUUUAAAGCUGAUAAAGUACAUAUAUUCUGUAAGAAGUGAUACAGAAACAAAAAAAUGGUCUGACAGAAAUAUUUUAAAGUUUGCUAUAUCUGAGAAGCAAAAUUGCCAUUUAAUAAAUUUUCUGCUGAAUCUAAGUUCUGAGGAUAAUUUAAUUUGCUCAAAAAAAAAUUAUCCUCAGGUAUUAAAUCUUUUGCUUGAUUGUGGUGCGCAUGUUUAUGAUGAUGAUAUGUUUAUAUCAGAAGAGAAUAUGUUUCAAAUAUAUUUCAAUCUUAGUGACUCUACAAAUUUAAUUUCUGCAAUAAAAAAUAAAAACUUUGAGUGGAGUGAAUUUUUUAUACGUCGUGGAGAUGAUGUUAAUCAACAGGAUGAGUAUGGUAAAACACCUUUACAUUGGGCAUGUUAUGUUAGAAAUUUCGAUAUUGUUAAACUCCUCCUUCAGCAUGGAGCCAUGUUUGACGCAACUGAUUUUAAGACACAUAAACCAGCUGCAGAAUUAAAAACAAAUGCUGGUCCUGAUUCAAUAAUUGCUCAAAUGAAGAUUGGAAAACUUUUAGAUGAAAUGUCACAGUUAUUUAAUUCAAACGAAUGUCACAAUUUUGAAGCUCAUGAAAAUAUUGCCUGUUACUUUUUAAAUGCUAGAAAUUUUGAAAAAAGAACAUUAUUGCAUAUUGCAGUAAAGAAAAAUAAUAUCAAUACUGUGACAAAAUUGUUAGAUUUUAAUCAAAAAUAUUUGGAAAAGAAACUUAAAUGGAUUCAUAUGAAUGAUGAAAGUUGCGAAAUGUAUCGAAAUUACCAGCCUUUUUCUGUUGAUUCUGUGGAUAUAGAAGGGAAUUCUCCUUUACAUAUUGCAUGUAGGAAUAAUAAUAAACGUAUUAUUAAUACCCUCUUACGUGAGGGAGCCAUUUUCAAUAUCAAAAAUAAUGCUGGGAAAACUCCAAUUGAUCUAUCAAAAGAUUAUAAACAUUUAUUAACUUCAACUGAAGCUUGUUUUGAGGAUGUUAAGGAUGGAAAAUCAUUGAAUCUUGUUGGAAUUCUUCAGCAAUGCUUAAAUGUAAAAAACAUUGAAGGUGACUCGUUUUUGCAUCAAACAAUUAAACACAAACGUCAGGAAUUAUUUGUAUUUUUGUUAGGAAGAGAUAUUAACUUGAACUGUCAAAAUUUAGAUGGUUAUACACCACUUCAUUUAGCUGUUAAACAUAGUAACAUUUGUAUGAUUAGAAGACUACUGCAAAGAGGUGCCUUUUUCAAUGCUUUCAGUAAAGAACUCAAAACCCCUUUGGAAUAUGCUAAUGGUCUGACUGAUUUAUCAUUAAAAAAGUAUCUUGAUCUAAUAAAUGAAAUGUUUAAGAUAGUAUUGAGUGAUAGUCCUGAAAGAAUUUUGAACCAUAUUGAAUCUAUUCAGCAGUGUUCUAUACCUUUACCUAUAAUAGUUAAUGCUUAUGAUAGAAGAAGUCAUUGUGUUUUGCAUUAUGCUACUAAGUUUUCACACUUUUCUGUUGUUAGAAUUUUAUUAGAAAAUGGUGCUAUGUACAACUGUAAAAACCUUUGGGGUGAAACCUCUAUGGACAUCGCCUCUAGCCUACAUAUAAAACAACUUCUCCAGUUAAUCCAUGAUUUGUUCUGCAAUUUUGAUAUGUUGGAUGAGAUAAAGGGUGAAGUUGGCUUUAAAAUGAUUAAAAAUGUGCGGAAUGAAAAGGGAUUAACUUUAUUGCACAUUGCUGCAAUAGAAAACAAUCAAAAUCUAGUUGUAAAGUUAAUCAAAUCUGGAGCAGAUGUUCAUGCUGAAGAUAUGUAUGGUAAAGAUAUUUGCCAUUAUGCCAAGAGAAAUGUUAAGAAUAUUAUAAAACAGUACAUAAAAAUGCAAGAGUAUAUUCAUGAUGGAGAUUUGAAUGAUGCUGAAAAAAUAUGGAAAAAAUUGAAAAAAUUUUAGGAAACUAACAAUGAUCCAGAAUCCAAUCCACCGAGAACCCAAUCUGAUGAAUCUUCUCUUGCUUGCUUGCCAUCUACUAGCUCUAAAAAACCACAAACUGCUAUUGCACAAGAGGAAAUUAACAUGGCA